GGGUUGUGAGGUUAAGCGACUAAGCGUACACGGUGGAUGCCCUGGCAGUCAGAGGCGAUGAAGGACGUGCUAAUCUGCGAUAAGCGUCGGUAAGGUGAUAUGAACCGUUAUAACCGGCGAUUUCCGAAUGGGGAAACCCAGUGUGAUUCGUCACACUAUCAUUAACUGAAUCCAUAGGUUAAUGAGGCGAACCGGGGGAACUGAAACAUCUAAGUACCCCGAGGAAAAGAAAUCAACCGAGAUUCCCCCAGUAGCGGCGAGCGAACGGGGAGCAGCCCAGAGCCUGAAUCAGUGUGUGUGUUAGUGGAAGCGUCUGGAAAGGCGUGCGAUACAGGGUGACAGCCCCGUACACAAAAAUGCACAUACUGUGAGCUCGAUGAGUAGGGCGGGACACGUGGUAUCCUGUCUGAAUAUGGGGGGACCAUCCUCCAAGGCUAAAUACUCCUGACUGACCGAUAGUGAACCAGUACCGUGAGGGAAAGGCGAAAAGAACCCCGGCGAGGGGAGUGAAAAAGAACCUGAAACCGUGUACGUACAAGCAGUGGGAGCACGCUUAGGCGUGUGACUGCGUACCUUUUGUAUAAUGGGUCAGCGACUUAUAUUCUGUAGCAAGGUUAACCGAAUAGGGGAGCCGAAGGGAAACCGAGUCUUAACUGGGCGUUAAGUUGCAGGGUAUAGACCCGAAACCCGGUGAUCUAGCCAUGGGCAGGUUGAAGGUUGGGUAACACUAACUGGAGGACCGAACCGACUAAUGUUGAAAAAUUAGCGGAUGACUUGUGGCUGGGGGUGAAAGGCCAAUCAAACCGGGAGAUAGCUGGUUCUCCCCGAAAGCUAUUUAGGUAGCGCCUCGUGAAUUCAUCUCCGGGGGUAGAGCACUGUUUCGGCAAGGGGGUCAUCCCGACUUACCAACCCGAUGCAAACUGCGAAUACCGGAGAAUGUUAUCACGGGAGACACACGGCGGGUGCUAACGUCCGUCGUGAAGAGGGAAACAACCCAGACCGCCAGCUAAGGUCCCAAAGUCAUGGUUAAGUGGGAAACGAUGUGGGAAGGCCCAGACAGCCAGGAUGUUGGCUUAGAAGCAGCCAUCAUUUAAAGAAAGCGUAAUAGCUCACUGGUCGAGUCGGCCUGCGCGGAAGAUGUAACGGGGCUAAACCAUGCACCGAAGCUGCGGCAGCGACGCUUAUGCGUUGUUGGGUAGGGGAGCGUUCUGUAAGCCUGUGAAGGUGUGCUGUGAGGUAUGCUGGAGGUAUCAGAAGUGCGAAUGCUGACAUAAGUAACGAUAAAGCGGGUGAAAAGCCCGCUCGCCGGAAGACCAAGGGUUCCUGUCCAACGUUAAUCGGGGCAGGGUGAGUCGACCCCUAA
rnacentral:rRNA from 1 species